UACGAAGGGGGCUAGCGUUGUUCGGAAUUACUGGGCGUAAAGCGCACGUAGGCGGAUAUGUAAGUCAGGGGUGAAAUCCCGGGGCUCAACCUCGGAACUGCCUUUGAUACUGCAAAUCUUGAGUCCGGAAGAGGUGAGUGGAAUUCCUAGUGUAGAGGUGAAAUUCGUAGAUAUUCGGAAGAACACCAGUGGCGAAGGCGGCUCACUGGUCCGGUACUGACGCUGAGGUGCGAAAGCGUGGGGAGCAAACAGGG
rnacentral:rRNA from 1 species